rnacentral:rRNA from 1 species
UCAAGCUACAAAGAGCACAAGGGGAAUGCCUUGGCACCGAGAGCCGAAGAAGGACGUGACUAACUGCGAUAAGCUGCGGGGAGCCGUAAGUAGGCUUUGAUCCGCAGAUUUCCGAAUGGAGCAAUCCGGCAAGAGGAAAGUCUUGUCAUCAUAUACUGAAUACAUAGGUAUAUGAGGGGAACCGCCUGAACUGAAACAUCUAAGUAGGGCGAGGAAGAGAAAUCAACUGAGAUUCCGUAAGUAGUGGCGAGCGAACGCGGAAGAGGCCAAACCGAGAGUAGUAAUACUUUCGGGGUUCGGACAGAAUACGGCAUUGUAAAGGUUUAGUGGAAUGGAAUGGGAAGUCCAACCGAAGAAGGUGAGAGUCCUGUACACGAAAAGCCUGAACAGCCAUCUGUAUCCAGAGUACCGCCGGACACGUGAAACCCGGUGGGAAUAUGGGGGGACCAUCCUCCAAGCCUAAAUACUACUCGGUGACCGAUAGUGAAGAAGUACUGUGAAGGAAAGGUGAAAAGUACCCCUGACGGGGAGUGAAAAAGAACCUGAAACCUUGUGUUUACAAGCACCGAAAGCUCAUCAAAGAGCGAUCGGGUACCUUUUGUAGAAUGGUCCGGCGAGUGAAUGUAACCGGCGAGGUUAAGCACUUAAGGUGUGAAGCCGCAGCGAGAGCAAGUCUGAAUAGGGCGUAUGAAGUCGGUUGUAUUCGACCCGAAACCGGGUGACCUACCCAUGGUCAGGUUGAAGUAAAGGUAAAACUUUAUGGAGGACCGAACCGACUCCCGUUGAAAUGGUAGCGGAUGAACUGUGGGUAGCGGAGAAAUUCCAAUCGAACCCGGAGAUAGCUGGUUCUCUCCGAAAUAGCUUUAGGGCUAGCCUUGAAAUAGAUUACCGGAGGUAAAGCACUGAAUUGGCUAGGGGCCGAGAGGUUACUGAACCUUAUCAAACUAAGAAUGCCGGAUAAUCGUUUUUCAGGAGUCAGACAGUGGGAGAUAAGUUUCAUUGUCAAAAGGGAAACAGCCCAGACCCACAGCUAAGGUCCCCAAGUAUAGUUAAGUGGAAAAGGAUGUGGAAUUGCACAGACAACCAGGAUGUUGGCUUAGAAGCAGCCACUCAUUAAAAGAGUGCGUAAUAGCUCACUGGUCGAGUGACUCUGCGCCGAAAAUUUAACGGGGCUAAACUAUACACCGAAGCUUGGGAUACAUCUAAUGUAUGGUAGGAGAGCGUUCUGUAUGGGGAGAAGUCGUAGCGAAAGCGGCGGUGGACUAUACAGAAGUGAGAAUGCCGGAAUAAGUAGCGAGAAUUAAGUGAGAAUCUUAAUGGCCGAAAGUCUAAGGUUUUUGGAGGAAGGUUCGUCCGCUCCAAGUAAGUCGGGAGCUAAGGUCAGGCCGAAAGGCGUAGCCGAUGCACAUACGGUUGAUAUUCCGUAACCAUCUGUAAUUUAAGCAAAGGGACACUUCAAAAGGGUGUGACCCGGGCGUUGGUUGACCCGGGCGUAAGGGACCGAAAUUAGAGUAGGGAAGCACACUUAGCUGAAGGCGAGAAAAGCUUUGCGUAUAGAAACAGAUGCCCGUACCGCAAACCGACACAGGUGGACAGGAAGAGAAUUCUAAGGCCAGCGGGAGAAGGGUAGUUAAGGAACUCGGCAAAUUGACUCCGUAACUUCGGAAUAAGGAGUGCUCGAAAGAGCCGCAGAGAAUAGGCCCAGGCGACUGUUUAGCAAAAACACAGGUCUCUGCCAAAUCGAAAGAUGAAGUAUAGGGGCUGACACCUGCCCGGUGCCGGAAGGUUAAGAGGAGGAGUGAGAGCUCCGAAUUGAAGCCCCGGUAAACGGCGGCCGUAACUAUAACGGUCCUAAGGUAGCGAAAUUCCUUGUCGGGU